UAAAUCAGUUAUCGUUUAUUUGAUAAUACCUUACUACUUGGAUAACCGUGGUAAUUCUAGAGCUAAUACAUGCUAAAAACCCCGACUUCGGGAGGGGUGUAUUUAUUAGAUAAAAAACCAAUGCCCUCCGGGGCUCCUUGGUGAUUCAUAAUAACUUCUCAGAUCGCAUGGCUCCAUGCCGGCGACGGUUCAUUCAAAUUUCUGCCCUAUCAACUUUCGAUGGUAAGGUAGUGGCUUACCAUGGUUUCAACGGGUAACGGGGAAUUAGGGUUCGAUUCCGGAGAGGGAGCCUGAGAAACGGCUACCACAUCCAAGGAAGGCAGCAGGCGCGCAAAUUACCCAAUUCCGACAUGGAGAGGUAGUGACAAUAAAUACUGAUACAGGGCUCUUUUGGGUCUUGUAAUUGGAAUGAGUACAAUUUAAACCUCUUAACGAGGAACAAUUGGAGGGCAAGUCUGGUGCCAGCAGCCGCGGUAAUUCCAGCUCCAAUAGCGUAUAUUAAAGUUGUUGCAGUUAAAAAGCUCGUAGUUGAACCUUUGGCCUGGCUGGCAGGUCCGCCUCACCGCGUGCACUUGUCCGGCCGGGCCUUCUCUUCUGGAGAACCGCAUGCCCUUCACUGGGUGUGUUGGGGACCAGGACUUUUACUUUGAAAAAAUUAGAGUGUUCAAAGCAGGCCUUUGCUCGAAUACGUUAGCAUGGAAUAAUAGAAUAGGACGUGCGGUCCUAUUUUGUUGGUUUCUAGGACCGCCGUAAUGAUUAAUAGGGACAGUCGGGGGCAUCAGUAUUCAAUUGUCAGAGGUGAAAUUCUUGGAUUUAUUGAAGACUAACUACUGCGAAAGCAUUUGCCAAGGAUGUUUUCAUUAAUCAGUGAACGAAAGUUAGGGGAUCGAAGACGAUCAGAUACCGUCGUAGUCUUAACCAUAAACUAUGCCGACUAGGGAUCGGGCGGUGUUUCUAUUGUGACCCGCUCGGCACCUUACGAGAAAUCAAAGUG
rnacentral:rRNA from 1 species